GGAAACACCCGCAAGCAGGUGUUUUCCGGAGACCCGCGCGGGUGCCCGGCGGCCGUGAGGUGGGGGUGGGAGGCGGUGGCAGCUGGAGGGCGGAGUCGCCCCACGCCGGGAAUCCUUUCCCGGCUUCAGCCUCGCGGAGUCGUCUUCACUCGCGGUGGGCCCCGCUCAGUCGUGGGGCUGGAGACCGGGCCAAGCUCUCCGGCACCACCCAGAGGCCCAGCCCGCGCGCAUCGGGCUCGGGGAAGCUUCGCCGGGUCUGUCCGGGACCGCGUCCCCUCUCCGCCAAGGCCCAGACGGAGCCCAGCACCUGCUACUCGAGCCGCUGGCCCCGGCCCGGCGCGACCGCGGGAGGCAGGCGGCCCGUAUGCAAAUGUCCCGCGGGGGCCGGGGGACGCCUCCAGCGCCCGGGAUAAAAGGCGGGGUGAGGCGCGCGGGGCCGCAGAAGUCGCUGCCUCCCGGGAGCCUGCCGUGCGCUCAGGCCCC
rnacentral:lncRNA from 1 species